rnacentral:lncRNA from 12 species
UGGUACUGCUGCUAGUGCCAGAGUGGACUGGUUACUGCCACGAGACCUGGAUCCCUGUGAUGGAGGAGAGAGGCUUUGGAAGUGUGUCUGGAGAAGGGUCUUGUUCUGGGCAAGGUGAAUGUGGAGAUGAGCUGCCAUGGCCACCAGCACAGACUGAACGUAGGAACUCGGGCACAGGGAGAGCAGGGCCUGAUCCCGGGCGUGCCUCUGCUCCCACAACGGCGGCACCAUCACGAUGCUAAAAAUGCCUCCCCUGCAUCACAGCCUGUGGGACUGCCAGGAAGCCCUGAGGAAGCUGCAGCAUCUCAUGAUGGGUAGUGCAGACCUGCUGGGGUCUUGGAUAGCCC